GACGAACGCUGGCGGCGUGCCUAAUACAUGCAAGUCGAACGCUUCUUUCCUCCCGAGUGCUUGCACUCAAUUGGAAAGAGGAGUGGCGGACGGGUGAGUAACACGUGGGUGACCUACCCAUCAGAGGGGGAUGACACUUGGAAACAGGUGCUAAUACCGCAUAACAGUUUAUGCCGCAUGGCAUAAGAGUGAAAGGCGCUUUCGGGUGUCGUUGAUGGAUGGACCCGCGGUGCAUUAGCUAGUUGGUGAGGUAACGGCUCACCAAGGCCACGAUGCAUAGCCGACCUGAGAGGGUGAUCGGCCACACUGGGACUGAGACACGGCCCAGACUCCUACGGGAGGCAGCAGUAGGGAAUCUUCGGCAAUGGACGAAAGUCUGACCGAGCAACGCCGCGUGAGUGAAGAAGGUUUUCGGAUCGUAAAACUCUGUUGUUAGAGAAGAACAAGGACGUUAGUAACUGAACGUCCCCUGACGGUAUCUAACCAGAAAGCCACGGCUAACUACGUG
rnacentral:rRNA from 1 species